rnacentral:rRNA from 1 species
AUUGAACGCUGGCGGCAGGCCUAACACAUGCAAGUCGAACGAGUGGCGGACGGGUGAGUAAUGUCUGGGAAACUGCCUGAUGGAGGGGGAUAACUACUGGAAACGGUAGCUAAUACCGCAUACCAUCGGAUGUGCCCAGAUGGGAUUAGCUUGUUGGUGGGGUAACGGCUCACCAAGGCGACGAUCCCUAGCUGGUCUGAGAGGAUGACCAGCCACACUGGAACUGAGACACGGUCCAGACUCCUACGGGAGGCAGCAGUGGGGAAUAUUGCACAAUGUGCGCAAGCCGGAUGCAGCCAUGCCGAGUGUAUGAAGAAGGCCUUCGGGGGGAAAAGUACUUGUGGCGAAGAGGCGUGACCCGCACACGAAGCACUGGCCAAAUCCGUGCCAGCAGCCGCGGUAAUAC